CCAGAUGUCCAUCGUGUCUUACGGUAAAGAAAAACCUGCAGUACUGGGCCACGACGAAGCCGCAUGGGCUAAAAACCGUCGCGCCGUACUGGUGUACUAAGAGAGUCAUAUGAUUAGUAACUUCAGACGUCAUGCACUG
rnacentral:sRNA from 1 species